CGGAGUGGACGCACCGCUGGUGUUCGGGUUGUGAUGCCAAUUGCAUUGCCCGGUAGCUACGUGCGGAAAAGAUAAGCGCUGAAAGCAUCUAAGCGCGAAACUUGCCUCGAGAUGAGUCUUCCCUUGGACCUUGAGUCCACUGAAGGAACGUUUAAGACUAAGACGUUGAUAGGCUGGGUGUGUAAGCGUAGCGAUACGUUGAGCUAACCAGUACUAAUGAUCCGUGAGACUUAACCUUACAACACCGAAGGUGUUU
rnacentral:rRNA from 1 species